GACAAAGGUUUCCGUAGGUGAACCUGCGGAGGACAUUAAAAGAAAUUGGUUAUACAUUUCAUGUAUCAACUGAAGAAAAGAUUCUGUGUACCUUGCCUGUUGCUUCCAUGGAGCAGAUUUUGGUCACUCUUGUGAUGUAAAUCCCAAGGGAGUCCCCAUGGAAGGUCAUCAAUAAAACUCAUGUAUCCAAUGUCUUCUGUCUGAACUGUUUAUAACAAUUGUUAAAACUUUCAACAACGGAUCUCUUGGUUCUCGCAUCGAUGAAGAACGCAGCGAAAUGCGAUAAGUAGUGUGAAUUGCAGAAUUCAGUGAAUCAUCGAAUCUUUGAACGCACAUUGCGCCUCCUGGUAUUCCGGGAGGCAUGCCUGUUCGAGCGUCAUUAAAUACCUCUCAAGCACCAUUGCUUGGUCAUGGAAGAUGAGUAUGCUUGCUUUCUCCCUUCUGAAAUUCAAAGGCGGAUGAUCUCAUAUUCCGUGGCGUAGUAAGUGUUUAUCUUUCGCUUGGAGUGUCUGACAGUCUUGCCAUCGACCCCCUUUAUUUCAAGGUCGACCUCGGAUCAUGUAGGGUUUUCCUGCUGAACUUAAGCUUAUCAAUUAAGCGGAGGAACACC
rnacentral:rRNA from 1 species